UGUGUAUGCCCUCUACUUUGUUACCCAGGAGCCGGGAUUCAGUUUGCUCCUUGCCGUCACCGUCCUGUGAGAAUGGCACUGGAGACACAGACAAAGAGUCCAGGCCCCUGGAGAACGAGUCUAUCCAUCUGAGCCAGUGCCAGGAGAGGGAAACCCAUCUAUUGCCAGUUUCAGCCUCCCCUCAGUCCUCAUCACCCCUGCGGACCACCUCAACUCCUCUGCCCAAGCCCACCAGAGACUCCUGUCAAGGUGGCGUGAGUGUGAGGAAACGGCGGCGCCUGGCAGCCAGCCCCGGAGGACUGCACUGGGACACAUCAGGGUCAGUGCUGCGUGACCAUGACCGAGGGGAGACAUCGUCACUGUCGGAAGUGAAGCGCUUUCCUCGGAGUGUGGAUUCAGAGAGCCGUGUCCCAGAGCCUUGGAGGGAUAGAGUGCCUCUUAGGAAGACCAUAUCCAUCGAUGACCGCCUUCUCCAGCAAACACCUAGAGAACAUCACAGACUCCUCAGCCGAAUAGAGAGG
rnacentral:lncRNA from 1 species